AUCGUGCGGCGCAGACGCGCUGAUGGGGAGCGCAAACAUCAAAGUCUGCAGACGCGGUUCUCUCGCAGACGCUUCGCGCGGCUGAGCACGUUCUGGGAGGACAUCACGUUACAAGUUUCCUCCUCUGAAUUACCGGUGCUGUGGGGACCAGUGCUGCUGCUGCUGCUGCUGCUGCUGCUGCUGCUGCUGCUGCUGCCGUCUGCUGGAGCCACCAUGUCAGGCCUGACACAAAGAAAGCAUGCCAGACAGCAGAGGCCUUAUAUGCAGCAGGACACUAAUUGGACUGAACCACUGCCCGGGGAAGGAGAAACUCUUUUUGUGUUAAACAUUGAUUCAGUUUACAUUUUACUGUAUGUCUAUUAGCUGUACUAUUUUUCUAUGUUAGUUUACUUUAGGAUGGACAAGUUAAUUUUGUGUUUGCUGUAUUUCUGUUGUCUUAGUUUUUUUCAGUUCCCCCUUGUGUGUCUAGUUGGUCUGAUCAGCCACUAUAUAUGCUCCCCUUGUGUUUCCAAUUAGGGAGGUCAGUUUAAGUUUGUUGCUCUGUCUGUUCAGUUGGUUGAUUUGUCCUCCUAUUUAAAGCUUCAGUUACUUUUGUUGCUUUGACCUCUUUUAAGGGCCCAUUUUUCUUCACUGAGAUCUUUUUUGAAAAUAAAUGUAAAUAUUUUUUCAUAUA